AAAGGAGAAUAUUAAAAUUAGAAGGUCUGAUGAACUCUGACGCAAACGCAUUUAAUACAAUCUUCUCCUCAUUGUAUCAGCCUGUCCACCCAAUCAGACAGGUAGGGAAUAACACAAUGUCAGAGUUAGAAGGGACCUUGGAGGUCUUCUAGCUGAAGGUUGACUCAGCCUUCCAUCCUUUCGAGAAUGAAGAUAGACAGACAGACAGAGACAGACAGACUUUUCAUGAUGGGUGACUGAAAAUCAAGCAAUUUCUCUCAGUGAUGGCCCAAGAAAGAUGCUGCAAAGGAAUGCAUGGUUCAGAAUGCCAAAAGUUAUUAUUUCAACUCUGGAUAAUGAUUAUAAAAGUAUGUCCAUGCAGGCUUA